rnacentral:tRNA from 1 species
GAGGGUACAGCUCAGAGGGAGAGCAUGUGCUUCACAUGCAUGAGGUCCUGGGUUCAAUCCCCAGUACCUCUG